AGAGUUUGAUCAUGGCUCAGGAUGAACGUUGGCGGUGUGCCUAAUACAUGCAAGUCGAACGGAGUUAAUAGCAAUAUUGACUUAGUGGCGAACGGGUGAGUAACGCGUUGGUGAUCUGCCUCGAAGUGUGGAAUAACGUUCCGAAAGGAACGCUAAUACCGCAUGUGCUCUCGAUUUUUAGAAAGUUGAGAGUAAAGAAUUUAUUCGCUUCGAGAGGAGCCUGCGUCCCAUCAGCUGGUUGGUAGGGUAACGGCCUACCAAGGCUAUGACGGGUAGGGGACCUGAGAGGGUGGCCCCCCACAAUGGAACUGAAACACGGUCCAUACACCUACGGGUGGCAGCAGUAGGGAAUAUUAGAAAUGGACGAAAGUCUGAUCUAGCAACACCGCGUGUGCGAAGAAGGCCUUCGGGUCGUAAAGCACUUUUUGGAAGGAAUAGGAAGGAAUGUACUUCCAGAAUAAGUCUCGGCUAACUACGUGCCAGCAGCCGCGGUAACACGUAGGAGGCGAACGUUAUCCGGAUUUACUGGGCGUAAAGCGCGUGUAGGUGGUUCUGUAAGUAGGGCGUGAAAGCUCCCGGCUCAACUGGGAGAGGCCGUUCUAAACUACAGAACUAGAGGAUGGUAGAGGGAGGUGGAAUUCCAGGUGUAGCGGUGGAAUGCGCAGAUAUCUGGAGGAACACCAGUGGCGAAGGCGGCCUCCUGGACCAUUCCUGACACUCAGACGCGAAAGCUAGGGUAGCAAACGGGAUUAGAGACCCCGGUAGUCCUAGCCCUAAACGAUGUAGACUAGGCGUCGGUGGUUUAAUCACCAUCGGUGUCCAAGCUAACGCGAUAAGUCUACCGCCUGGGGACUACGGCCGCAAGGUUAAAACUCAAAUGAAUUGACGG
rnacentral:rRNA from 1 species